UACGGAAGGCAGCAGUGGGGAAUAUUGCACAAUGGGCGAAAGCCUGAUGCAGCUAUGCCGCGUGUAUGAAGAAGGCCUUAGGGUUGUAAAGUACUUUCAUCGGGGAGGAAAAAACAAAAACUAAUAAUUUUAUUUCUUGACGUUACCCGAAAAAGAAGCACCGGCUAACUCCGUGCCAGCAGCCGCGGUAAUACGGAGGGUGCUAGCGUUAAUCAGAAUUACUGGGCGUAAAAGAGCACGUAGGUGGUUUUUUUAAAGUCAGAUGUGAAAAUCCCCUGGGGCUUAACCUAGGAACUGCAUUUUUGAAAACUGAAAUACUAGAGUAUCGUAGAGGGAGGUAGAAUUCUAGGUGUAGCGGUGAAAAUACGUAGAUAUCUGGAGGAAUACCUGUGGCGAAAGCGGCCUCCUAAACGAAUACUGACACUGAGGGUGCGAAAGCGUGGGGAGCAAACAGGGAUUAGAUACC
rnacentral:rRNA from 1 species